rnacentral:misc_RNA from 1 species
UAUGAAUUUGAUGAACAACUCAUUGAGGGGAACUUUUCAGCUACCAAAUUUCAAUCAUAAUUUGGUCAAGUUAGAAAUUUCGAACAAUAACAUCACGGGUCAGCUCCCUAAGGAAUUUGGUUUGGUCCUCUCAAAUCUAGUGUAUAUAAACAUUUCAAGGAACAGUUUUCAUGGUAUUGUUCCUUUCUCAAUUGGUGAGGUAAGGGGUCUACUUUUAAUGGAUUUAUCCAAUAAUAAUUUCUCAGGAGCGUUGCCAGGAAGUAUGCUUGGGAAUUGUACCGAUUUAAAUGCUCUGUAUCUAUCAAACAACAACUUCAGUGGAAUGAUAGGUGUGGACAUCAACGCCGACCCAUCUGUUAUAGACAUAUCAAAUAACAAACUGUCAGGUACAAUUCCAAUACAAUUAUGCAAUGUGAGCAGACUUGUAAUUUUAGACCUCUCAGAAAAUUGUUUAUCUGGGUCUAUGCCUUCUUGUUUCGAUUCUUCGUCUUUGAGGUUCUUGUUUCUACAAAAGAAUAGUCUAAGUGGCUCUAUACCUUAUGUGCUUCCUAGAAAUCCAAAUUUAAUGGCACUUGACCUGAGAGAUAAUAAGUUUACUGGGAAUAUUCCAUCUUGGAUCAAUCAGCUUUCACAAUUGCGUGUGCUUUCAUUAGCAGGGAAUGCAUUACAAGGUCAUAUUCCUAAUCAGUUGUGUCAAUUGAGAGAUGUGCAUAUAAUGGAUCUUUCACGCAAUGCACUUUUUGGCUCCAUACCUUCAUGCUUUAAUAAUAUGUCAUUUUCGAAAAAUGCAUCUUUUGGAGAUUUGGAAGACCAUAAUUUUUCGGUUCCAUUUCGAAGUUUGGAGGUCGCCGUGUUUCCGUACAUUUUCUCUCUUGGAUUGGAUGUGACGGAUUUUUUUCAUUGGUCUCAUUCACCAUUUGUAAAAGUGGAAUUUGCAAUGAAGUAUAGGUAUAAUAUCUACAAGGGUGACAUCAUCAACUUGGUGGCUGGAAUCGAUUUGUCAUGCAAUGAUUUAACUGGUCACAUUCCUCAAGAAAUUGGAGACCUUCAUGAAAUUCUAUCAUUGAACUUGUCUCACAAUCACUUAUCAGGGUUUAUACCAGUUAGUUUUUCAAAUUUAAAGAGCUUAGAGAGUCUAGAUCUUAGCUACAACAAUUUAAGUGGUGAAAUCCCUAAUCAACUAGUUGAGUUGAAUUUUUUGGAAAUUUUUGAUGUUUCAUACAACAAUUUGUCAGGUAAAAUUCUUGAUAAAGGACAAUUUGAGACCUUCGUUGAAAGCAGUUACAGAGGUAAUCCUGGUCUUUGCGGACCAACCAUUUAUAGGAGCUGCAAUGCUAGUCAAGUUCUAGCAACACCGCUAUCAAAUGAUACAAAAUUAGAAGAAGAAGAUGGAGAUGGUAUUGACAUGGUGUGGUUCUAUUGGAGUUUCAGUGCAUCCUAUGUCACAAUCCUAUUCAUAUUGAUAGUAAUUCUCUGCAUCAACAGGCAUUGGCGCAUGUAUUGGUUUUACUUGGUUGAUGCCUGUAUUUAUUUUAUUUCCAUUCGGCUUUUUGGAACUGAUUGUCUAUGCGUGUAGGGUGAUGCUAGGGCUUGAAGAAAAGGAGGGAUACAUGUGUCAAUUUUUGCAUAUGCUCAACCAUUAAUUGUUGAGUUUCUCUGUUUCAGGUGUAUUAAUAAUGCCUAAAAUGUUCCUCUGUAUUAGGCUUGUCAUGCACUCUUGUGAU